CCGCCCCUUAUCUCCCUAAUCCCAAUCCCAUCAUCCCACUAUAUUUCCCUAUAUUUCGGCAUCUUGCUUUGAUUGACGGUUAGUUUUAAAUUCUUGGUUCUCCAUAAAGGAAGAAGAUGGCGUCCAUGUUCGACAAGGAGGUGUCUUAACGACUAAUUGGUUCACUAUGUUGUUGUUGGCAGAAACCCUUAAUUUUCAUCUCUGUUGCAUGAAUAAAUAUCGGAUUUGGAACAGAAUAAAGGGGAGAAGCAUGCUAUACAUCUAUGAGGAGUAAAUCGAAGAAAACACAAGAUUGUGUAUUGAAACGAGUGGAACGGUUGAAGGAAAAAAUAACAGAGUUGGACCAAGAUAAGAUAGAGAAACAUGUUAUGAUGGAGAAAAUUGAAGAAGGUGCGAGGUUGUUUGCUGAAAUGAAUGAGAAAAUUCAAUUGUUGUUGCAAAACCUGCCACCAACUUAAGAUGCGUUGAAUUUUAUUGUAUUGCUUUUGGAUAAUUAGGAUCUUUAUGGUGUUAUGUUUGGUUAUGUUUGAAUUAUUUGGAUCUUUAUCGUGUUGCAUUUGGUUAUGUUUGGAUAAUUUAGGUCUU